rnacentral:tRNA from 2 species
CGGGAGAUGGCUGAGUGGUCGAAAGCGGCGGUCUUGAAAACCGUUGAAGGUAACACUUCCAGGGGUUCGAAUCCCUUUCUCCCGGCCA